rnacentral:lncRNA from 1 species
UUUUUACGACUGGUCAGUAAGAUGAAGUAAUUGCGAUGUUUAAAGCAUUAUUAUCAGUAAAUUAAUAUUGUGAAAUUAAAAGAAGAAAAAAAUUGUGGUAAAAAAAGUAAAUGUGAGGGUUAAAAAUAUUAAAACAAUGUCAGAGGUGGCCUAAAACGGUGUAUAAUCUGCAAAUCUGCCACUAUAGCUUUUGUGUCACUCACUUCCUCCUUUAGCUUUUUUUUUGCUUUUAAAGAUUAAUAACAAAAAAAU